ensembl:lncRNA
UCCAGUUCUUGAUGGGGAAAGCCAGGAAGCCAUGACUCAAAGAGUCAAACCUUUGACUGGAAGCCGAUAUUAGCUCUUUUUCCUUAAGGAGUAAUUUCGGUCAAUGUAUCACCCCAAAUGGACGGGGUCGGACGGAGUUAUGGUGCAAUGAAAAUCAUUCCUGCCAAGCCAGCAACUGCAGAUGAAAGGCAGGGUGAGUCACACCAGCUCUCCAGUCCCUGGCAGAAGCAACAUCUCCCUCUGCAGCCCGAACAGCCCGUGAAUCAGGUGCCAGCCACAGGCAGCUCCAGACGCCAGCGUGUUCUCCUGAGACGAUGCAACAUCCAAUUCCUUGAAGCCUCACCUGCUAGGACCUGCUUUCCAAUGUCUGGACUCCUCUUGCUCUCUUCUUGUUUGCUUCCAAGCUCCGGACAGUCCACCCUUGGCCUAGCAUCCCUCGGCCAGACAUUGCACCAUUUCCAUUUUAGGACGAGAUUUGAAAAGCUGCUCGGUUUAGCUUUCAAUGUUGUUGGAGCUCCCAUGGGUGGUGUCUGGGAUGAUGCGACAGCAGGGGAACAGAUUCUGGCAUCUCCUCUUACUUACAGGAACAUAUGGACACUAUUUUCUUGCUGCUCAAAAUAGUCAAGGCCUGGCACCACCGACCACAAGAUGCUGACCAGGACACGUCACUUGCUUAACCGCGAAGCCUCGUUUUCUUCAUUCCAUGAGACAAGCAUGGCUUGAUGAGCUGUGUAUAGGUCCACACCUGGGAUUCGAACCCACGAACCCUGCGCUGCCGGAGUGGAGCAUGCAAACUCAGCCACCAUGCCACCGGGCUGGCCUCUCGUAAGUGAUUUUGACUAAGGAAUUUUUGUUUUUUAAUGAUUGUAGAAACAGGAGAUGAAUCUUUGAGAUCUAAGAGGCUGGAGGUUAGAAGUGAGCUUCCUACACAAGAGUCCUCCCGCUCCUUUGGAGAGCUACCCUUUCAGUGAAGAGCUGGACCAGAAAAGCAUCCAGCCAUUGGCACAGCGAGAUGACAGAAAGCCUGUCAACGCUGGCCUGAUUCUGAAGAGAAAAAAGUGGUUGCCUUUGGGAUUUGUAUCUGGGGGCUGUCCUCAGGAGCGUUUGGGGUUUGAAUUUACACUAUCUGAGUGGCACGGAGCCUCAGUCUGCCGGGUUAGGAUAGGAUCGACAGUGGGCUGGUCAUACCUCUGGAGCACCUGGCAGGGGAAAACACAAAAUCUCUGCGGAUGGACACAAAGAAUUCUCACAGAUAAACCUCAACCAAGAUGAGAUCAAUGUCCAAAGGUGCCAAUCGAGGGAAAAAUAAACUCUGAGUAAGUUCGUAGAUAUAACAAACGGUAGGAAUAGAUCCCUGAGAGCUUCAGGAACAAUAUUAGCAAAUAGAGAUUAUAGAAUAGUUAAGAUUAAAGAUACAAUGGAAAAAUUAAAGAAGGCAAAGAGAACAAGCCACCAACAAAGGAAAACAAAAGACAAGGAAGAUUUAAGAAGAACAAAAGAGAACUGGUAGGAAUAAAAAAUACAGAGAUUGAAACUUAACAAAACCCUCAACGGUUACGUUAAAAAUAGAUUAGAUACAACAAAAUAGAGAAUUAGUGAAGUGGGAGGUCACUCUGAGCCCAAAGAAAUAAAGAGAAGGAAAAUUUAGAAGCAAGGUUAAUAGCAAUGGGCGACGGGCUAAGAAGGUCCGGUUAGGGCGCAAUAAGGGCUCCAGACGGGCUGAACAGCGAGAAGAGGACGGAGAGCGAAGGGAAGAUGGCUGAUAAUUUUCCAAAACUGAGGACAGGCCUGAAUUCUCUGACUCAGAGAAAAAGUAGUUUUAAGAAGGCUAGACAAAAGGAGAUUUACACCAACACACAUAAUAGCAAGCUAAGGUAGAAAACCAAAAACAAAAAGAAUACCUUAAAAGUGCCAGAAAUAAAAGAUUACCUAAAAAAGGAAUGCCAAUUAGUUUGGCCGCCACUUCUCAACAGUAGCCAGAGGACCGUGAAAUUACAGCUUCAGAGUUGAGUGAAAAUAGAAAUCUCUACCUAACUCAACUGUCACCCAAGAAUUAAGAAGAAAUGAUGGAAAACAAAACCUUAGAGAAUUGAUCACUAACAGACUCUCACUAAAAGAAUGUCUAAGGAUGUACUUUAGCCAGAAGAAAAUUGAACUCAGACAGAAGGAGUGAACUUCAAGCAGAAGGGGGAGGAAAUAAGUUGGUAAACAUGUGGAUAAAUCUAAACAAGAAUUGACAAUGCAAACAAUGAUAAUACUCAUGACAUUUUAAAUGUUUAAAAACAUGGAGGAUCUGAAAUACUGGAUUAGGUAACAUGUAAGGCUGGAGAAAAAUAAUUCAAGGCUUCUAAAAUCCUUGAAUGGUUAUAUGAAUUAACUUCAGACUUUGUCAUGCCCAGCACACAUGUUAAAAUUUUAAUCAUGACACUAAGAGAAUAGAAAUAGGAUUUGUAACUUUCUAAAACAGUAGAGGAAAAAUGAGAAAAAGAUACUCUCUAGUCCUAUAGGAGAAGGGUCAGCAAACUUCUUCUGUAAAUGGCCAGAUAGUAAAUAUUUUGACUUUGGUGCCGUGUGGUUUUUGUCACACCUGUGCGACUCUGUCACUGCAGUGUGAAAGCAGCCACUGAGAAGAUUUAAAGAAAUGGGCAUGACUGUGUCCCAAUACAGUUUGAUUUACAGAAAAAGGCACUGGACUGCGUUUGGCCUGUACGCUGAGUUUGCCAUUCCCUGCUCUAAAGGUAGGAAAGGAGGUAAAAUUAGGAAGAUAGAAAGCACAAAGACAGCCAAAAUAUCCCAAAUAGGUUAGUGACCACAAGAUGUAUAAAUGAAUUAAAUUUGCUGGAUAAAGACACAGACUGAUAGAUAAGUUAAAAAUAUGUGGGACUCUAUGCUUUUAGUAAGACAAAUACUUAAACCAUAAGGAAAACAGAAAGGUGGAAAGUAAAAGUGGGAAGAUAGAUAUCCCAGGCAAAUAUGGUGAAGAGAACGGUUAUUAAUGACAUUAGCACACAAAAUAGACUGUAGGGAAAAAAGCAUUAAUAAUGGUAAAGAAGGUCAUUAUAAAAUGGUAAAAGGCACAUUUCACCAGGAGAAACUUAUAAACUUAUGUACCCCAAUAACACAGCCUCAAAAUAUAUAAAGCAAGGUUUGAUAGAAUUACAGGGAGAGGUUUGUAAGUCCACCCUUGCAGUGUGACAAAGAAAGGAUAUAGACUUUUAAAAGACAAAUUAAGAGCUUUGAUCUAAUGAUAUAUGGCAUGUUGCACCUAAAAAUUAAGAAUGCAUAUUCUUGGGGGCUGGCCCCAUGGCCUAGUGGUUAAGUUUGGCACGCUCUGCUUUGGCGGCCUGGGUUGGGUUCCCUGGCAUGGACCUAUACCACUUGUUGGUGGCCAUGCUGUGGCAGCAACCCACCUACGAAAUAGAGGAAGAUUGGCACAGAUGUUAGCUCAGGGCAAACAUUCCUCAAACAAACAAAAGAAAAAGAAAAAAGAAUGCAUAUUCUUUUCAAACACAUAUGGAACUGCUAUAACGUUCAUAUAUUAGGUCAUAAAAUAAGAUUCAACAAAUAUUAAAAAGCUGGGAUUAUGCAGGCCAUAUUUUCUCUGCUCAAUGCAUUUGUUAGAAGUCAAUAAAUUUAAUAAAGUCAUACAUUUGGAUAUUUUAAAGCGCAUUUAUAAAUAAGUCAUGAUUCAAAGAAGACGUUAAAAUAUAAAUAAGAAUAUAUUAAGAAUUGAGUGAUAGUGAAAAGACCACAUAUCCCCGAACUUGCGGAGUGUUGUUAAAGUGGUACUUAGAGCAAAAUUAAUAGCUUACAUACAAUGCAGAGGACCCAUACAACCCAAAGAAGGUUCUCGAAAGGACCAGUACUUUAGAAAGUUUUCUGGCUAUGUUUCUCAAGGAUGAGAGGAGGGGGUGAGGAGAAUGAGAGACAGAGAGAGCCAAGUAAACAACUACAAUGGCAGGAAUAAAAAAGGGCGCAGGUAUACAGAUAAGGAUGAGUUUUUAAAAAAUAAUAAGAGGCUUCUGUGGAUAACCAUGAAAAUUGAUAAUAAAAUUGUCAAUCCCCUAGGAAAAUAUAACUUACCAAAACUGACUGAAGAAGGAGUAGAAAAACUGCACACACUCGUUAAUAAAACUGAAUCAAUUGUUAAAAAAUCUGCCCGCAAAAUUCUUGCCAGACACAGACGCUUCAGUGAUAGGUUCUACGAAAUAUUCCAGAAACAGUGCCCUCAAUUAAUACAAACUGUCCCAGAGAACAAAGAUAGAAAAAUCGGCGCUUCAUUUUGUAUAUGUGUAUAACCUUGAUGUCCAAACUAGACUGAGGGCAAUAAGAAAAAAAUCCAAUUAUCGGCCAAAGGCACUCAUGAUGAUAAAUGUGAAAAAUUUAAACAAAAUAGCAACUGACUGAGUCCUGCAAUCUAUCUACAGAAAAUAAAUCAUGACAAAGUUGGAUUGGUCACUUAUCAAACCCAAGUCUGUAGCCUUUCUUAAAAGAGCCUGAUUUCGGUGGCACAAUUCACCAUGAAGUCAUGCUUUGUCACUGCCAGAAAAAUGGUGUCUCGGUCCAGGUCAGCCUCAAGCUAGAUGACCAAUGGAGAAAAAUGCCCAGCAAUUGGCCCAAGAAAGUGCUUACCAGGGUGACCGAGCCAAGGAUCCAUUAGCAUCGUGGAAGAGGAAGUUUGUGCUUCAAAGCCUGCUGGGUUCUUAGACACACAUUCCCCACAGCCUUUUGGUCUGUCCUUAGUUCCAGCUCCCCCUGAGCUUACCUGCGCGUUUAAAGGUACCACCUGAACACACCUGAGCUCGCCAACUCCAACUCGACAGAGACUUCAGAUCAUGUCAGGUUCUCGGUUCCCUGCUUCCACCUUCAUUAAAAAAAUAAGCAAAAUAAUUAUUCUGUUUUAUCUGUUACAGAAUUCAUGUUCAUUAUGUUCAUUGCAGAAAUGUUGGGAAAUAAAGAACAAAAUAAAAACUUCCUUUAAUCCAGUCACAGAGAGGAUUGGAUCCACACCACAAGUAACAUUUUGUUAUACCUCCCCUCACUAGACACACACACACACUCACAACAUAUAUUAUAAAAUAUAUUCUGUUUAUUCUUUAUAUAUUAUAAUACAUAUAUAUUUUGCUUGUUCUAUUAAUAUAUAAAUAUUUGUGCAUAUCUGUAACAAGAUAUGGACAUUUAUUAAAAUUAGGAUUUUGGGCCGGCCCCGUGGCCGAGUGGUUAAGUUCGCGCGCUCCGCUUUGGCGACCCAGGGUUUUGCUGGUUUGGAUCCUGGGUGCGGACAUGGCACCGCUCAUCAGGCCACGGUGAGGCAGCAUCCCACAUGCCACAACCAGAGGGACCCACAACUAAAAUAUGCAACUAUGUACUAGGGGCAUUUGGGGAGAAAAAGCAGAAAAACAAGCAAACAAAAAGACUGGCAACAGCUGUUAGCUCAGGUGCCAAUCCUAAAAAAAAAAUUAGACUUUUAUGAACACACUUUUCCAUUUUUUCUCACUAAAUAAUAUAACGUGAACAUUUCUUCGAGGAACCCUGCCCGCCAGCAGCCACGAGCCGUGCUGGGGCCAAGGUUCUGUUACAUCAUAUUGCUGUUGCAUCCUGGCCCCUGUUCCCACCAGGCUGGAGCUGGCGCUUUUUAAUCAGGUAGCUUCAAAUCUUUGCAGCCCAAGUGUCGGGCUCCGUCUCCCCGAGCCUCACGUCCAGCACUUCCAGAUCCCUUCGGUCAACGGAUUCCCGGGCGGGGCUCCACCCACCUGCACCUUAUCCUGUCUCUGGAGUCUCCCCAGUGAGUGGCGCUCCGGCAGGACUGUUUGUCCACGACACUAGGUAGAUCUGUACAGCUCAUGCCCUCCCUUCCUUAUGAUCCCUGCUCAAAUGUCACUUUACCCCAGUGGUCCUACCUGACCUCCUCAUGUAAAACACCUGAUGGAAAAUGAUGAAAAACAACUUUCUCCAGUCUGUGCACUGGCAAUCCUUAUCAGCCUCAUUCUACUCAAAUAUUUACAUAUGCUUAUCAAAUCCUAACAUAGAAUUUAUAUAUGUAUCUAAGUUUCUAUAUAUUUAACUGUAUCUAUGUAUCUAACUAUGUAUCUAUAUAUCUUAGUGCUUAUCUAUCUAUCAUAUGCACUAAUCUAUGUAUGUAUGUAUGUACUUAUCUCUCUAUCUAUCCAUCCAUCGACCUAAUGUAAUUAUGUAGGUAUGUAUGUAUCCAUCCAUCCACCUAAUGAAUGUAUGUCAGUAUGUAUCUAUCCAUCCAUCGACCUAAUAUACGUAUGUAUGUAUCUAUCUAUAUAUCCACCUAAUCUAUGUGUGUAUGUGUGUGUAUAUGUAUGCAUCCACCUAAUGUAUAUAUGUGUGUGUAUCUAUCCAUCCAUCCCCCUGCCUCACUAUUGUUGAUCCCAAGCACUUAGUACCCUGCCUUGGAUAUGUUUGACAAAUAUCUGUUGAAUGAACAAAUGUAUAGGAAUUAAUUUCUCUCUCCUAUUUUCUCUGUUAUCUAAAACAAUUAAAGUAAACCUGAAACUACUAUAAUGUUCUAUGUCAAUUAUACCUCAAUCAAUGUAAAAAAACAAGUUCUUCGUGUCAAUGUGGUUUUGACACCCAAACAAAUGUAGGCACUGAGGUCACAUGGCAUCACUUGGUCCAAAUGUAGCUAUUCAUGUGACUCAGGAUACAAUUACAUUAAAAUUUUUCUGGAAUAUUAGCCAAAUGAACAACACACAAAACAUUAUUGUGAGUAGGGUUGCAAAUUUACUCAUAUGAUACAGUAAUGUGCAAACAAAAUGUUUAUUUCUUCUAUAACCACUCACUCACCGCUGCACUGGGUUGUAAGGAAAAGCGAUCCAGCACGCUGCAAUACUUUCAACAAUCUCUCAGCUUCUCCUCUGCAUCUUUAGAACAUCAUCAUCCCUGCCCUGCUUGCCUCUGAGUUGGCACCAGGGACUGGAGGCAGGUGUACGGCGGGUUCUUGUGGGUUCAUGGAGCCUUGCUGGCCUCAGCUGCCAAGUGGCCCCUCUGCUCCCUGGACUGGUCCCCAUGAGGCAUUGCUGGUGUGUGUUUCUGAAUGCUGUGACAAGGGUCGGUGCUGGUCUGCUUCUUGUGCUGGGUUGUGUUCCUGGUGGUCGCUGCCAUCGCACUUUGCUCCUUGUGCCUUUGCCACCCCGACUGCUACACGUUAGAGACUCUCUCCCCCAACCCUCAUACAUCGGCCCUGGCCUCCUUUGUGCCCUUUGCUGCAGGGUAGUGCAGCCCCCAGCCCACCCCCAAUGGCAGCCCACUGGCUCUUCUGUUGGCCUCCACAAGGCAUGAGGGAUUCCGGGUGUCUUUGAAGACCCAGUCAAGCUGGAGGGCCUCCGUGUAGUCAUCCUAGAAUAAAUACUCACAGCUUACUCAUUCCUGACCCUUCAGCUGGGGUGACCAGAAUUUGACGUCUCUACAGUGUUUCACAAUAGCGUACCUUGAAAACUUUUUUCCAUUGUGACAGUGAUUAUGACCACACAAUGACAGCAUAGCCAGGCAAAAUGUGGAAAGGUUGGUAAAUUGCUAAAGUGAUUAAUUAAUGCUUGUAAAGUUACAAAAUAUAUCCAUUGAUACUAUAAUGAUUCAUUGAACAUUCCAUUAAAAUACGUUGGCAUCAUAUAUAACAGGGGUUGGAAAACUCUGGCCUGCAGGUCAAAUCUGGUCCUCUGCUUGUUUUUGUAAAUAAAGUUUUAUUAGCACAUAGCCACUCCCAUUUGCUUAUACAUCGUCUAUGGCUGCUUCAUGCUAGAAGGGCAGAGUUGAGUAAUUGCAACAGAGACCAUACUUUUGAAGCCCAAAUUAUUUACUAUCAGGCCCUUGACGGAAAAAUUUGUCAUCUCUGCUCUAUGUCUAGUAUGAAACGAUAGUUAUCUUUAGCUCUGAGACAUGCAGCUGGGGAUGAAGAGUUUGAAACAACACAGUGAACAAAGGUGACAAGAGUGAAAAUCCUCUGUCUGCAACCAAAGGAAACCAAAACAAAGAAAGCUGGUUUGCUCCAGAGUUUCUACUUUAUUGUUUAUCAUUGAGCUAUGUUUUUCCACAAACACAGGAUGAUGGUUAAAAACAUAAAGUUUUUGAGGAGAUGAUUUCCCAUAAACACUCUGCCUUCACAAAAAGGAGUCAUCUUGAGCCACAGAAGAAAUAUUGGAGACAUUUUUAAGCCUCUGUUUUGGGAUCUGAUUCCCACGUGGUUUGAAGACCCUGUUCAUAUCAUUUCUAGAGAUGGGAAGUAGAUUUGGAGUCUGACGACCUGGGUUCACAUCCUAGUAAUGGAACCAACCCCCAUGACCAUAGACAAGAUGAGUGUCCCACGUGGCCUCUGUUUUCCUAGCUGUGAAAUGGACCCAUCUGGGAAGAGGAGCUCUGAUGGCCCUUCCAGCUCGAAAAUCCUGACUCUGUGCUUCCAAUUUAAUGGAAAUGUUGGCCCCAUUCUGACUCUACCCCAUGAGAAUGUGAUGGUAUGACAUUAAAACGAUAAGGAUGCUCUAGAUAUGAAAUUCUACUGUUGAAUCCGUAUUGCACCCAAGGUCUAAAGAACCAGUUAUUCAAUUUAACCAGCUGAGGGAGUAGACAUGGCUAACAUUUGGGCUCAGCAGCUAAAGCUUUUCUGGAAACAGACCUCCUGGGGCCAUGAAGGAGGAAGGAAUUCCGAUCGUGGAGAUAUCAACUGAAAGGUCCACCUGGACGUCGUGAACAGCUCUACAUGUGGGCCGUGGCGCUCAGACCAGUGACACACAAUAUCCCAGAAUCUGUUUUGUAUUUAGGAAAAAAUUUACAGUGAAUACAUGACAUUUAGAGCACACUCAUGGCAGAUGAUUUCAAUUGUGUAGUUCUUAAAUGUUUGCACGUCCUAACAUCUUUCCGGCCUCCAGCACAGCUCUGCUCUGAGUGGCACGUCCAUUAUUAUCCCUCCGUGAGUGUGUGAGCCUGUGCUAAAUUUCACAGUCCCUGGACUCCCAGCAUCUGGGAUACGGAGGGUGGGGGUGUGGGUGAGGUGACUCAGCCUGGGGUGCACCCAACACAACACUGCAACACUGUAAUUCAGUUCCUUACGAGAAAGCAGAAUGCAAUUCACACAACGCUUUGCUGGUAUCAGCCUGCACUGAGAUAAAACAGCUCAGAGGCCGUAUUGGCCUGCCUGGGAUAGUCGUUGUGAGGGUUCAGUAAGAUAAAGAUUCCAGUGUUUAGCCCAGCGUCUGGAUCUCAGGAACAGCUCUGUAAAUGAUGCAUAUUCUUACGGCAGUGGAAAAGCUGUUAGAAAGAAUCGAGAGCUAUCCAACUGUACCUGGGUAUUUCUGUGUGUUUUAAUUAUGAUCUAUCCUGUGUGCUCAAAGAGUUCUGAAAGCGUGGGCUGUGACAGCUAGAAGGGAUCCUAGAAAUCAAUGUUUGGACCAGGAUACCAGGAGCCAGAGGAUUCAAGUGGCUCAUGAAUGGCCACACAAGGUAUUCAUGGCAGGAUGGUCUUUAAUUUUUACAUUAUUUUUAAUUGAAGAUUCACAGAAAGAACAAAGUUUUCCAGUCUAUAUUCCUUAGGACACAGCGAUAUUAAUUCCUGCCUCACUGGGCUGCUGGGCAAAGGAAGCGACAACCCUGAGCAGAUGGGGCAUGGGCUGAGCACUGCAUAUUGGCAUCUAUUAACAUCGCCACCCUCGAGGAGGUGUGUCCUCAGGACACCCGCACCCCACUCCUGCCAGGCCCCCUCCUGUGACGGGCAC